CUCAUGCAAAGCAGCCCAAACUUCCUCCUCACUGCCGUGGUGCAAAUAAUUCGGCACUCGGAAAUGCUUCGUGCCCAGGUGGUUGCAAUACGACAACUUGGUCGGUAAGGGCAAGCACCGGCCAGCCGAUGGAGUCAAUCCAGAAAGGCUGGAAGUAUAAGGAAUGCCCUGUCCCCUAAAGAGAUACAUCUGGUGGGACCCAGAAGAACGGCCUUCUCCAUGGUGGUUCCCUCUCUCUGGAACAUCAUCCCCCCCGAGAUAAGACUGUCCCCUAUUCUAACACUCUUUUGGAAGGUCCUGAAGAUGUGGUUCUGUCAGCUGGCCUGAGAAACCCAAAGCAGGAUGGAGCCCAAUAAAUGGCUAAUAUGAAUGCAACCUGAAGAAUGGAUGAUAGCACUCAGGGCUGGAAAAGAUGGCCAACCAUUAGAACAAAGUCGGGUUUCAAGUCUGAAAACUGUGUACCUUAGAGAAGUGAUUGUUGGUAUAGAAAGGAAUAAAAGCCUAUUUCUGAAA